ACGCUCGACACCUACGGGAGCAGCAGUGGGGAAUAUUGGGCAAUGGGCGCAAGCCUGACCCAGCAACGCCGCGUGAAGGAAGAAGGCUUUCGGGUUGUAAACUUCUUUUCUUCAGGGACGAAGGAAGUGACGGUACCUGAGGAACAAGCCACGGCUAACUACGUGCCAACAGCCGCGGUAAUCUGAGCGGGCUGGCAAGGC
rnacentral:rRNA from 1 species